GGCUGGCAAAACCCCAUCACCACCUCCUCGUGGUGCCAGCUGGGAACAACGACCCAUUGAGAAGCUGGCCAACAGUGUGGG
rnacentral:ribozyme from 1 species